GACAAAAUAUGAAAGCCUUUGAAAGGGCUAGAGUUCUUGGUACGAGAGCCUUACAGAUAAGUAUGGGAGCACCAGUCAUGGUAGAGCUUGAGGGUGAAAAAUAUCCAUUGCAAAUUGCUAUGAAAGAAUUAAAAGCACAGAAAUACCAAUCAUUAUUCGUCGGUACAUGCAUCCAACAAACUAUUUCGGCAGCCUAUAUUUUUAACAGAGAUCUAUUUAAAAGCAGUUUCGGUGAUUACUCAGGGUCAAGUCUGUAUGGAUGGGUAGCUUUAUCCAGUUGAUAAGUGAUUUUUUCAACCUUAAUAAACAUGUCAGAAAAGUUGUGAAACUAUGGACAUAUAUUCAAACAAAAACUUUAAUUUAUAAAUCACUAUCCAGUGGAUAGUGCUAUACUGUUCAAUCUCUGUAGUUUAUAUAGCCAGGCCCAGGAAUACU